CUACGGGUCGCUCCAGUGGGGAAUCUUAGACAAUGGGGGAAACCCUGAUCUAGCCAUGCCGCGUGAGUGACGAAGGCCUUAGGGUCGUAAAGCUCUUUCACCAGGGAAGAUAAUGACAGUACCUGGAGAAGAAACCCCGGCUAACUCCGUGCCAGCAGCCGCGGUAAUACGGAGGGGGUUAGCGUUGUUCGGAAUUACUGGGCGUAAAGCGCGCGUAGGCGGAUUAGUAAGUUAGAGGUGAAAUCCCAGGGCUCAACCCUGGAACUGCCUUUAAUACUGCUAGUCUUGAGUUCGAGAGAGGUGAGUGGAAUUCCGAGUGUAGAGGUGAAAUUCGUAGAUAUUCGGAGGAACACCAGUGGCGAAGGCGGCUCACUGGCUCGAUACUGACGCUGAGGUGCGAAAGUGUGGGGAGCAAACAGGAUUAGAUACCCGGGUAGUC
rnacentral:rRNA from 1 species